rnacentral:ncRNA from 1 species
UUCUUCAGGGCGGGGUGUAAAUCCCCACUGGCGGUAUAGUCCGCGACCUGUUGCUUGCUUAAGCAGCGGCUGAAUCGGUGUAAUUCCGAUACCAACAGUUAUAGUCUGGAUGAGAGAAGAA